GAUGAACGCUGGCGGCGUGCCUAAUACAUGCAGGUCGAGCGAACGGACGAGAAGCUUGCUUCUCUGAUGUUAGCGGCGGACGGGUGAGUAACACGUGGAUAACCUACCUAUAAGACUGGGAUAACUUCGGGAAACCGGAGCUAAUACCGGAUGAUAUUUUGAACCGCAUGGUUCAAAAGUGAAAGACGGUCUUGCUGUCACUUAUAGAUGGAUCCGCGCUGCAUUAGCUAGUUGGUAAGGUAACGGCUUACCAAGGCAACGAUGCAUAGCCGACCUGAGAGGGUGAUCGGCCACACUGGAACUGAGACACGGUCCAGACUCCUACGGGAGGCAGCAGUAGGGAAUCUUCCGCAAUGGGCGAAAGCCUGACGGAGCAACGCCGCGUGAGUGAUGAAGGUCUUCGGAUCGUAAAACUCUGUUAUUAGGGAAGGACAUAUGUGUAAGUAACUGUGCACAUCUUGACGGUACCUAAUCAGAAAGCCACGGCUAACUACGUG
rnacentral:rRNA from 1 species